rnacentral:lncRNA from 1 species
UUCGGUCCAAUGAAUUCAAGGCCUCCGAAAAUAUCAGAGCUAAAGGUAACUCCGAGUCUUUCUCAUCACUGCAGAUAUUUUAAUCGAUUUUGAUCUCGGCCAGCUGACCCAGCUGGCCAGAUCAUCCGAGGGCCGAUCAGAUGCAGUUAGUUCAUCGAGCUCGGCCUGCCGUGGUUGAGCUGAAGGAGGCGAAGGUUCAGCCGUCUUCUAAGAGUAUCAAGAACUUGAGGUCGGCGAUAAUGGAGGACUCCGAUCAAUCUCCGAGACGGAGGCGGCGAGCUUCGUCCGCCGGAAGGGGGUCCUCGGAGUUAUUAGC